rnacentral:rRNA from 1 species
AUUGAACGCUGGCGGCAGGCCUAACACAUGCAAGUCGAACGAGUGGCGGACGGGUGAGAAAUGUCUAGGAAACUGCCUGAUGGAGGGGGAUAAGUACUGGAAACGGUAGCUAAUACCGCAUACCAUCAGAUGUGACCAGAUGGGAUGCGCGUGUUGGUGGGGGAACGGCUCACCAAGGCGACGAUCCCUCGCUGGACUGAGAGGAUGACCAGCCACACCGGGACUGAGACACGUUCCCGACUCCUACGGGAGGAAGCAGUGGGGAAUAUUGCAACAUGGGCGCAAGCCUGAUUCAGCCAUGCCGCGAUUAUUAAUAAGUGCUUCGGGUUGUAAAGUACUUUCAGCGGGGAGGCGCUAUCCGCACAAAAAGCACCGGCUAACUCCGUGCCAGCAGCCGCGGUAAUAC